rnacentral:rRNA from 1 species
GGCAAGUCGAACGAAGUCCUUCGGGCUUAGUGGCGCACGGGUGCGUAACGCGUGGGAAUCUGCCCUUGGGUUCGGAAUAACAGUUAGAAAUGACUGCUAAUACCGGAUGAUGACGAAAGUCCAAAGAUUUAUCGCCCCAAGGAUGAGCUCGCGGCCUAUCAGCUAGUUGGUGAGGUAAAAGGCUCACCAAGGCGACGACGGGUAGCCGGCCUGAGAGGGUGACCGGCCACACUGGAACUGAGAUACGGUCCAGACUCCUACGGGAGGCAGCAGUGGGGAAUAUUGCACAAUGGGCGCAAGCCUGAUGCAGCAACGCCGCGUGAGGGAUGAAGGCCUUCGGGUUGUAAACCUCUUUUAGCAGGGAAGAAGCGAAAGUGACGGUACCUGCAGAAAAAGCACCGGCUAACUACGUG